CCCAAUAUAUUUGUUAGAGUUGAAUCUGAGUUUUUUAUUUUUUUAUCUGUGAUCUUGGACACCAAAACUCAUAUAGUUCAUGCGAGUAAAGAUUUUUGGUGUUGGGGUUAUAAAUAAAGAAAAGGUUAAACUCUAUUUUUCGUUCCUUAAGUUUUAAAAUGUUACGAUUUUGAUCUUCUAUUAAAAAAAAUGGCACAAGUGACCUUUAUUGUUUAGGGAAAUAUGCUCUUUUGACCCCCUAAUAUAUGUGAAAUAUGUUUUUUGACCCCUUAUCUUUACAAAAAGUUGCAAUUAUGGCCCCUUUUUUGGAAC
rnacentral:lncRNA from 1 species